UCAAUCGAGCAGCCGACACGUGCCUCACC
rnacentral:sRNA from 1 species